rfam:Pteropus alecto contig71690, whole genome shotgun sequence.
AACCGCUGCUCUGAGACCUAAGAUGGCGGCGCCGGCCGGCCGCGGGAGUCCUGCCGGCGCCCGGGGCGUGACGAGGCCGCCAGAGACGAACCUGCUAAGCCAAGCUCAGAAACUGGCCAGUGCGUGUGUCGUGG